CUAAAGCCUAUUAAAGCUCAUUCCAAGUGCUAGACUUAUUUUACAAAGUUGUUGGGGAAGCUAACAGUGAGGGUUUCAGCCAAGCUCUUCUUAGAACACUCCAAGAUUGAAGUUGUUACAACCAUUUGAAACGCUUGGAACGACUCUUAGAUUAAUUAAGGAGACUUCAAGGUAUGUCAAGCUUCUAGUUAUUUUUAUGUUUUAAAAGCUACUCUAAUACUUGAAUCGAUUUGAUUUACUCUAGUUUGAUCAAUGAAAUAGAUAUGACCAACGAUAAGGACUUUGAUAUUUAUUUGCUCAUCCGGUCGAGGGGAUGACCGUACCCGUGGGUUCUACACCCCAAUGUACCAUCUCACCCGGUCGAGGGGAUGAUUAGGCUCGUGAGUUUUGUACCCCGGUGUAUCAUAGCCUAUCUAGCGGGGAGAGUACGUCAGGCCUCGCGGAUGGCGUCCCGAGUGUAUACAUCAUAUAUAAUUUUGAGACUUGAAAUAUGGAUCAGACCAUGACACUUGAGAUGUUUUAAAAGUCCUAAAUAUGUUAUAAAGUAACUGGAGUUUCAUUACAUACUCUAGUGAAUUGUAUUGUUUAUUUGAUUUGUCUUUCAUGCACUUGUUAUUUCCUUCAUUUAUAUUCCCUAACUCUUACCGCUCCACGAGUUGCACCUAUGACGCAUAUCUGAGUAUUUCCAAUACUCAGGCAUCGUUUGUUUUAAAUGAUGUCAAGUUUAGCAGGCGGUCCGGUGCAGGACGAUCAACGUGCUAGUUAGAGUUCCUACAGCUUUCUACUUUUGGUGGGCCCACUUUUGCAAUCAUGGAUCAUCUAUUUCGGUUGUAUACUUUUGUAUAGUGCGGGAUGACCCCGUAACUUUAUUAUUUAAUUCAUAGCGUCAUAGAGUCUCCAUAGAGACUUUGUAUCAUUUUGGGCAGUGGGUACUCAUAUGGCAUAGCGAAUGACAUUUCUA